rnacentral:lncRNA from 1 species
CUGUGGUCCUCCCCUGGACCUGGAAGAUGGUCACUCAUGAGGUGUGGCUGGGAUGUGGCUGGCAAGACAUUCUGGUUACCUCUUCCCCACCGAAGCCAGGAGUCCAGCACAGGUGAUUCUCUAGUGGCCCUCGGAGACCCAGAGAAGCCAAAGCAUCCUCACUCUCAAGCCUGCGCUCUUCCCCUCACAUUCAGUGUCCUUGAGACUAUGGCAGCGCUGGGUCAGGCAGCUGGCUUUUCUACCCCUGUGGGGCAAUCAUGGAGAGGGAACAACGGCCUCAAGUGGAAGAGGAACCUCAGUCACCCAAGGCAAACCUUCCACCCUCCAACACUCACCAGGAAGACUGAGUGAGAUGGCACACGUGGAUCACUGGUAACGAGGUCGGGGCAGGGCUUAUUAUGCACCUUGGACUUAUUUUGCUGUGUGAACUGUGGGUGUCACCUUACCAUCUGUAAAAUUACAUUAGAUUUUUUUCUAAUCCCUUCUCCACUUCUAAACUUCUGAAUCGAAUAAUCAAC